UACGUAGGGGGCAAGCGUUGUCCGGAAUCAUUGGGCGUAAAGAGCGUGUAGGCGGCUUGGUAAGUCCGCUGUGAAAGUCCAGGGCUCAACCCUGGAAUGCCGGUGGAAACUGUCAAGCUUGAGUCCGGAAGAGGCGAGUGGAAUUCCUGGUGUAGCGGUGAAAUGCGCAGAUAUCAGGAGGAACACCAAUGGCGAAGGCAGCUCGCUGGGACGGUACUGACGCUGAGACGCGAAAGCGUGGGGAGCAAGCAGG
rnacentral:rRNA from 1 species